GUAGGGAAUAUUGGGCAAUGGAUGCAAGUCUGACCCAGCCAUCCCGCGUGCCGGAAGAAGGCCCUCAGGGUUGUAAACGGCUUUUGACGGUGAAGAAUCGACAGGAUGCGUCCUGUUUUGACGGUAGCCGUUGAAUAAGCACCGGCUAACUCCGUGCCAGCAGCCGCGGUAAUACGGAGGGUGCGAGCGUUGUCCGGAUUUAUUGGGUUUAAAGGGUGCGUAGGCUGGAAGGUCAGUCAGCGGUGAAAAGCUGUCGCUUAACGAUAGUCUUGCCGCAGAUACUGCCUUUCUUGGAUGAGGAGGAGGCCACUGGAACGGAUGGUGUAGCGGUGAAAUGCAUAGAUAUCAUCCAGAACACCGAUUGCGAAGGCAGGUGGCUGUACCUUAAUCGACGCUGAUGCACGAAAGCAUGGGGAGCAAACAGGAUUAGAUACCCUAGUAGUCCC
rnacentral:rRNA from 1 species